UGGUUUUGGCCAUAUGUGUAGAAAUGCAGCUUUUUUAAGGUAUAUCUUUGGGAUUCUGCCACUGUUCCUAGCUUUGGUACCAGUUGGUUCAUCUGCUUCCAUGAAUGCUUUCCUGAAAAAAUAUGAAAUGUUUCUAUCUUUCAACAUUCGCGUGCUGGAAAACCAGAUUGGACAAAAUGAUGGAUGUAACCGGUCUAACACCAAUAGAGUUUUCUGCAACACAAUGGAGGUGAAUACAACUGGACUAGAAGUGUUCUGCAAUUCAGCUUUGAAGAGAGACAUUCGUGACGUGGCAUGCCAUCUUCAAAAAAUGACCAAGAGAUGUAACUUCACUGAAAGUGUAGAGAAGAACAUGAAUGAGGUUUCCAGUAUGACAUUGGUAAUGCUCAAGGACUGUAACAACAACACUGGUAUAAAACGACAAAGAGGAAACCCAUGUCCAAAUGUAAGAUAUAUCAAAAGGCUCUGUCGUGAAUGUUUGAUAAAGGAUAUAACUUUUCAGUUUAAGUUAUGUUGGGAUCAACUGAUGUCACAUUGGACUUAA
rnacentral:lncRNA from 1 species